rnacentral:rRNA from 1 species
UAGGGAAUCUUCCGCAAUGGACGCAAGCCUGACGGAGCAACGCCGCGUGAGUGAAGAAGGACUUCGGUUUGUAAAACUCUGUAGUUAGAGAAGAACAGCGUAUAGAGUAACCGUUAUGCGUGUGACGGUAUCUAACCAGAAAGCCACGGCUAACUACGUGCCAGCAGCCGCGGUAAUACGUAGGUGGCAAGCGUUGUCCGGAUUUAUUGGGCGUAAAGCGAGCGCAGGCGGUCAAUUAAGUCGGAUGUGAAAGCCCCCGGCUCAACCGGGGAGGGUCAUUGGAAACUGGUUGACUUGAGUACGGGAGAGGAGGGUGGAAUUCCAUGUGUAGCGGUGACAUGCGUAGAUAUAGGGAGGAACACCAGUGGCGAAGGCGACUCUCUGGUCUGUAACUGACGCUGAGGCUCGAAAGCGUGGGUAGCAAACAGG